CGAAGGGAGUACUUGAAGUUGGACUUGGAACAGCUUCCGGAAGAAAAAGGCAUCUGUUCCAGUCACCUCAUGAUCAGCGACGAGCCUGUGACUACACCAGACAAUUCUAUGUCAUCUUACCUCCCCCUAGAGUUCAGUCUGUAACUGCUGCAACCGGUCUGAGCCAUUACAUUCUGGUGCACAUCUCUCAUCUUUCCUACAUCCUUCACUUAGAUUUUUGACAAUGAAGAGUAUGACUGCCGGACUCCAGAAGACUGGCUGGCCUGCAGUGCUGAUGGAAAAACUGUUCAUGGAAAAGCCCUGCUGCCUACAGAGAACAACAUUCCUUCUGAUGAUCCUGAAAGCUCCCUGCUGGAGUACAGCUGGCAUUUAGUUGCAGUUCUUGAAUUCAGUAAGGAGAAAUGCCAGUAUCUUGUACAGAAGGUUCACCAAAACACUAAGCCGACAGUUGCUUAGAGGUAAACACACUGCAAACAGACACUGGGCACUGGGUACCCAGGAUUAGAUUGUUAUUCAUUGCUGAGGACCCACGUGUAUUUGUCGAACGGAUCCAGUUUGCCCUGCGUUUGAGAGAUAAAGUAGAGGCUCUGAUUUUCUAUCACUUGACUGUGGACUGCAUGCCCACUUGGAGUGAAACACCGUCUCUUAUACUGACAGUCUACAGCGUAUCAAAACAUACCCUUUCAACUCCUGGGCUCAGGCAAGAAAUUGUGGAAAAGUGUUUAGGGGACCUGGAGAUGGAGGUCAAGCUAGAUUAUGAGCGAACAAUGAAUCGCAUGAUCUUUGACAAAGUUGUUCAGAGCCAAUCAGAGGAUUUUUCACACAUCAACUUGCCAGAGACGGAGUCUGUACCCGAGUCUGUACCCCAAAGUGGUUGCGUUCCAGUACCUUACUUUGACAAUAAGAGAAAAUUCUUUUUUUUGUCUUCCAUUCCCUGCAAACAAAGCCCGAGGUGAUCUGUGUGUUAUCUACAAUAUGGCUGGAGUGCCACAAAGUAGCAACCAUGAAACUGUUCAAUGUCACUUCAGUCAAACCUCUGCAACUCGACGAGUUUGAAGUUAUGCAGUUUCAAGUACACACUCAGAUAAACUUGUUUCUAAGAGAAAAGUGGAUAACCACGCUGAGCAACAGCAUCCUCUCCAAGCUUGGGGGUCUGGGCAGGGGCUCUUAUAACGUCAAUGAGUCCUGCUGGGACAUGUACAAGUUUUCCAAGAUGCCCAGACUGAUGGCUGUGGUGCGCUUCAACAUGCAGGACUCCCUGCGCUUCCUUGUGCAGGAUUCAAUGGCCAGCCUGACUCAGCUGCUUUUAGAUGCCUGCCAAGAUGUGCUGACAUCCUCAGGAACUGGUCUGGGGAAACAACCUUAUCACAAGCCCCUACAGGCCAAAGAAGAACCCUCUGUUCCUGGUGGACUUGGUACUGGAUCAGACUGGGGUCCAUUACAGCCCUCCUCUGGAAGAUUUUGAGCCAUCCAUCAUUAACCUUUUUGACAAGGAUAUUUUGGUCACAAAAAAAAAGGUACCAUAGCUUGAAAAGGUAAACUAAAAUCUGCAAUCACACGAGAUACAGAUAGUUGAAUUAAAGAUGUGAAUAUGAGGAUGUGAAACUUGUUAACUGGGAGCUCCUUAUCGAUUGAUGAUAACAAUCACAUACAGAAUAUGCUCAAAGUGGCGAUGAUGUUGAGGAUUAAUUUGACCUCUCUUGUCCAUGACAGUUUGUGAUGAAAAAUUUGUUAUUCGGCGAUGACCCGUUGCGUGACUCAGUGAGUUUGCAGGAAUCAGAAGUAUAGAGAGAAGGUCCACAGUGCCGUGAAACAAGCAGCCAUUCCGCUCAGGGCUUACGCUGCUGAAUGUGAGAAACACUUGGAGCUACACAACCUGGACAUAGAAACUCAUCUCAAAUUGAAUACAAAUGCAGAAAUGACAUCAAAUAGUGAAGAGAGAGGUGGAACAGCAUCUAAAAGACCAGGAAUUAAUCGAAUACACCCCGCCAGCCUCGAUUGUCAUCGGCCCAUUUGUAGUCCAUGUCGAAGCUGUGCGUCAGGCUCUCGCAAACAAAAAAAAAGUCUUUGGCCAACGCUAUGUUGGAACAGCUUGCUCAAAAGUUACGCAAGCAAGUUGAUGAUGCGUGUGAAGAGUAUAAUGUAAUUAGUAGAAAGUUGCGUGAGAAUCCCAACAGCAUUGAGGAACUGACUGAAAAGAGGGACUGGAUGAAGCAAAUCCCUGAACAGCUCAAGAUUUACAAGGAACUCAUUGACAAGACCCUGACAGAUUAUGAUCUACUUGAAGAAUUUGUCUAUAGUCUUUCAAACAACGAUUUUAACAGAAAAUGCUCAGCUAUUGGAUGGCCACAAAGGAUUAUCAGCCAGAUGGAAGUAGCAGGGAUUCAAAAUGUGGAGGAUGAGGAGCGCUUCCGUAAAAUCCAGCUGGUUGACCAGAACAACUUUGAGGAGCAUCUGGAUUCUCUACAGGACCGAUGGUAUCCUCUCAUCUCUCUACCUUCUUUCUUAUUCUGCUGCUUGUGUGACUUAGGGCCCCUGGGCUGAGAACAUAAUGCACGCUGCAAUGAAACAAGGUCAUUGGGUCUUCUUCCAGAACUGUCACCUGGCUCCCAGCUGGAUGCCCUCCCUGGAGAGACUCAUUGAGAACAUCGAUCCAACAAAGGUGCACAAGGACUUCCAUCUGUGGCUCACAAGUCUCCCCAGCAACAAGUUCCCCGUCUCCAUUCUCCCAAAUGGAUCAAAGAUGACCAUCGAGCCUCCAAGGGGAAUCAAGGCCAAUCUGCAGAAAACCUACCUGAGACUCACCAUUGACUUUAUCACCUCUUCAACCAAAGUCCUCACUCACAGUCCUACUUUUUAAAUUGACUUUUUAUUACACGCCCUGCUAUGAAAACGAUGUCCAAUUAUGUCUUCUGUAUUCCUCUCUGUUCUUCUCAGGUGACACACACAGUCUUUGCUCCUUUCUCUGUGUCUCUUCCAUGGAAUUUCUCUUGAGAGAUGGAAGUUUGGUCCAUUCGGCUUUAACUUUCCCUACGAGUUCACAGACGGAGACCUGAAUAUCUGCAUCAGCCAACUCAAAAUGUUCCUGGACGAGUACCAGGACACCCCAUUCAAGGUACUAAGAUACACUGCUGGAGAGAUCAACUAUGGCGGCCGUGUGACAGAUGACUGGGACAGACGAUGUUUGCUCAGUGUGUUGGAGGAUUUCUACUCUCCCAAUGUGCUUGUUGAUGAACACAACUACUCUUCAUCUGGAGUCUACAGGCAGAUUGACACAAAUCUGGAUAUCAAGGGUUACUUGUCAUACAUCCGUGGUUUGCCCAUCAACGAUACACCGGAGAUCUUUGGUCUCUAUGACAACGCUAACAUCAGUUUUGCCCAGAAUGAGACUUUUGCCCUGCUGGGAACCGUGGUUUGUCUCCAGCCUCGAACUGCCUCUGCUGUGGGAAAAACUCAUGAGGAGAUAGUGGAGGAGAUAGUGGCAGGCAUCGUUGUAAAGAUCCCCAAGCCUUUCAGUGUUCAGGAGGUGAUGAAGAAGUACCCGGUCCUCUAUGAAGAGUGAACACAGUGCUCAUGCAGGAGGUCAUCAGAUAUAACAAGUUGCUGGAGGUCAUCUCGCAGAGUCUGGGUGAUAUUGUGAAGGCUCUGAAUGGUUUAGUGGUGAUGUCAUCAGAACUGGAGCUUAUGGCCAACAGUCUGUUUAACAACCUGGUGCCUGAUAUGUGGAAAGC